rnacentral:rRNA from 1 species
GUCCACGCCCUAAACGAUGUCAACUGGUUGUUGGGAGGGUUUCUUCUCAGUAACGUAGCUAACGCGUGAAGUUGACCGCCUGGGGAGUACGGCCGCAAGGUUGAACUCAAAGGAAUUGACGGGGACCCGCACAAGCGGUGGAUGAUGUGGUUUAAUUUCGACGCAACGCGAAAAACCUUAACCUACCCUUGACAUGCUUGGAAUCCCGCAGAGAUGCGGGAGUGCUCGAAAGAGAGCCAAGACACAGGUGCUGCAUGGCCGUCGU